rnacentral:rRNA from 1 species
CUACGGGGUGCAGCAGGCGCGAAACCUCCUCAAUGCACUAACGUGCGAAGGGGUUACCUCGAGUGCUACCUGAAGAAGGUGGCUUUUCCUUGGUCUAAAAAGCCUCGGGAAUAAGAGGGGGGCAAGACUGGUGUCAGCCGCCGCGGUAACACCAGCCCCUCGAGUGGUGGGGAUAUUAUUUGGCCUAAAGCGUCCGUAGCCGGCCGGGUAAGUUUCCCGUUAAAUCCAACGUCUCAAGCGUUGGACUGCGGGAAAUACUGCCUGGCUAGAGAGUGGGAGAGGUCAGCGGUAUUCUGGGGGUAGGGGCGAUAUCCUUUGAUCCCCGGAGGACCACCAGUGGCGAAGGCUGCUGACUAGAACACGUCUGACGGUCAGGGACGAAAGCUGGGGUAGCGAACCGGAUUAGAUACCCUGGUAGUC